GUGGAUGUAGCUCAGUUGGUAGAGUGCUUGCCUAGCAAACAAAAGGCCCUGGGUUCAAUCCCCAGCACCACA
rnacentral:tRNA from 1 species